rnacentral:rRNA from 1 species
GACCUGAGGGUGGGGGUGAAAGGCUAAUCAAACUUGGAGAUAGCUCGUACUCCCCGAAAUGCAUUUAGGUGCAGCCUUGACUUAUACUGGCAUGAGGUAGAGCGACUGAUAAGAUGCGAGGGCUUCACCGCCUAUCAAGUCUUGACAAACUCCGAAUGCGUGUCAGUUCUAUGUCAGGAGUGAGGGCAUGGGUGCUAAGGUCCAUGUCCUAAAGGAGAACAAUCCGGACCAACAGCUAAGGUCCCAAAAUGAAUACUAAGUUGAACUAACGAAGUCAGAUUGCUAAGACAGCUAGGAUGUUGGCUUGGAAGCAGCCAUUCAUUUAAAGAGUGCGUAACAGCUCACUAGUCGAGGAGUUUGGCGUGGAUAAUAAUCGGGCAUUAAGUAUUCUACCGAAGCUUUGGGAUGUGUAAACAUCGGUAGGGGAGCAUUCCACUCAGCGUUGAAGGCGAGGCGUGAGCCUUUCUGGAGCGUGUGGAAAAGCAAAUGUAGGUAUAAGUAACGAUAAAGGGGGUGAGAAACCCCCUCGCCGAAAGACUAAGGUUUCCUGAUCAACGCUAAUCGGAUCAGGGUUAGUCGGGUCCUAAGGCUCAGCCGAACGGCGAGGCCGAUGGCAGAACCGGUUAAUAUUCCGGUACUACCUCAAGGAGUGACGUGGAGACGGAGCAGUGACAGUGCCGCGGACUGACGGAAUAGUCCGUUAAAGGGUGUAGAUAUUGAUUCCUGCAGGCAAAUCCGCAGGAAGAGUCGAACCUGAUAGUAUGGAGCGUCCUUCGGGACAAUCCAAUAGUGCAUGUAAGCAUACUCCCGAGAAAAUCCGCUAAACUUAAUCCUUGUGGUACCCGUACCGCAAACGGACACACGUAGUCGGGUUGAAUAUACUAAGGCGCUUGAGUGAUUCACGGUUAAGGAACUAGGCAAACUGACCCUGUAACUUCGGGAUAAAGGGUCCUCAUCAGUGAUGGUGAGGCGCAGAGAAUCGGUCCAGGCAACUGUUUAACAAAAACACAGGGCUGUGCAAAAUAGAAAUAUGAAGUAUACAGCCUGACACCUGCCCGGUGCUGGAAGGUUAAGAGGAGAUGUCAUCGCAAGAGAAGCAUUGAAUUGAAGCCCCAGUAAACGGCGGCCGUAACUAUAACGGUCCUAAGGUAGCGAAAUUCCUUGUCGGGUAAGUUCCGACCUGCACGAAUGGUGUAAUGAUCUGGACGCUGUCUCAACCGUGAGCUCAGUGAAAUUGUAGUAUCGGUGAAGAUGCCGAUUACCCGCGAUGGGACGAAAAGACCCCGUGAACCUUUACUAUAGCUUAACAUUGAAUUUGGGUAAUUGAUGUGUAGGAUAGGCCGGAGGCUUUGAAGCAGGUACGCCAGUAUUUGUGGAG